CCACACUGGGACUGAGACACGGCCCAGACUCCUACGGGAGGCAGCAGUGGGGAAUAUUGGACAAUGGGCGAAAGCCUGAUCCAGCCAUGCCGCGUGUGUGAAGAAGGCCUUUUGGUUAUAAAGCACUUUAAGCGAGGAGGAGGCUACUUAGAUUAAUACUCUAGGAUAGUGGACGUUACUCGCAGAAUAAGCACCGGCUAACUCUGUGCCAGCAGCCGCGGUAAUACAGAGGGUGCGAGCGUUAAUCGGAUCUACUGGGCGUAAAGCGUGCGUAGGCGGCUUCUUAAGUCGGAUGUGAAAUCCCUGAGCUUAACUUAGGAAUUGCACUCGAUACUGGGAAGCUAGAGUAUGGGAGAGGAUGGUAGAGUUCCAGGUGUAGCGGUGAAAUGCGUAGAGAUCUGGAGGAAUACCGAUGGCGAAGGCAGCCAUUCUG
rnacentral:rRNA from 1 species